rnacentral:rRNA from 1 species
UACGGGGGGGGCAAGCGUUGUUCGGAAUUACUGGGCGUAAAGGGCUCGUAGGCGGCCAACUAAGUCGGACGUGAAAUCCCCAGGCUCAACCUGGGAACUGCGUCUGAUACUGGAUGGCUUGAAUCCGGGAGAGGGAUGCAGAAUUCCAGGUGUAGCGGUGAAAUGCGUAGAUAUCUGGAGGAAUACCGGUGGCGAAGGCGGCAUCCUGGACCGACAUUGACGCUGAGGAGCGAAAGCUAGGGGAGCAAACGGG